rnacentral:rRNA from 1 species
AGAGUUUGAUCCUGGCUUAGGAUGAACGCUAGCGGCAGGCUUAACACAUGCAAGUCGAGGGGCAUCGGGAGUAGCAAUACUUGCCGGCGACCGGCGCAAGGGUGCGUAACGCGUGAGCAACAUGCCCGUAUCAGGGGGAUAAUCCAUGGAAACGUGGUCUAAUACCCCAUAGUAAUUAUGUAAGGCAUCUUAUAUAAUUUAAAGCUUUGGUGGAUACGGAUUGGCUCGCGUGACAUUAGCUGGAUGGUAAGGUAACGGCUUACCAUGGCUACGAUGUCUAGGGGUUCUGAGAGGAAGGUCCCCCACACUGGAACUGAGACACGGUCCAGACUCCUACGGGAGGCAGCAGUGAGGAAUAUUGGACAAGUGGGGGGAACCCUGACCCAGCCAUGCCCGCGUGAGGAAUGAGGCCCUACGGGUCGUGAACCUUCUUUUGCCGUGGGGAACAACCGGCGGGAUCGCGAACUCCCCGCCUGGCCGGGUACCAGGCGAAUAAGCAUCGGCUAACUCCGUGCCAGCCGCCGC